AGUGAACGCUGGCGGCAGGCCUAACACAUGCAAGUCGAGCGGCAGCGCGUCCGACCACCCUCGGGUGGUCGGAUGGCGGCGAGCGGCGGACGGGUGAGGAAUGCAUCGGAAUCUGCCUCGUUGUGGGGGAUAACGUAGGGAAACUUACGCUAAUACCGCAUACGACCUACGGGUGAAAGUGGGGGACCUUCGGGCCUCACGCGAUGAGAUGAGCCGAUGCCGGAUUAGCUAGUUGGCGGGGUAAAGGCCCACCAAGGCGACGAUCCGUAGCUGGUCUGAGAGGAUGAUCAGCCACACUGGAACUGAGACACGGUCCAGACUCCUACGGGAGGCAGCAGUGGGGAAUUUUGGACAAUGGGCGCAAGCCUGAUCCAGCCAUGCCGCGUGCGGGACGAAGGCCUUC
rnacentral:rRNA from 1 species